AUCGCUUCUCGGCCUUUUGGCUAAGAUCAAGUGUAGUAUCUCCCCAAACUGAAACUCUGUAUAUUUGACUACUGUAGCUCUAUCAUAUGAGUGGAAUCAUGAAGCGUUUGUCUUUUUGUGACUGGCUUAUUUCACUUAGCAUAAUAUCUUCA
rnacentral:snRNA from 1 species